CUGCGUCUCAGCCAAUCAGGUUCGCCAGGGCCGCAAUCAAAUACACCGGUGCGCUCUCCUCACACAUACUGGUGAGGAGACAGGCUACAGGACGCUGCUAACACGAAGCCGCGUACCGUCGCUGCAGACAUCUGGGUUCUAGCGGGGACUGAAUUACGAGGGGAAUUGGCCAGGUGUGGCCGGUUGGGGACAACCCCCAUGCUACGAGGCGAGCUAGACCCAAAGGGAACCGAACAACUUCAACAUCCUCCUGCGGUCUGGUAGGGGUGUUGGCAGCCAGUUCUCUCCCACCUAUGCACUGGUCACUUUCUGUUCACAUAUGAACUCUGUUGCGCGCGAUCCUGGACAAUUUCCACAUAUACCAUGGACUCUGGGUUCCUAUAAAAUGGACAUUCGCUCCACACAUUGUUGUGGCCACUGACCCUUUAUUGUGAAUACUGUGAUUUUGUGCUUUGUGUGAUCUUAAGGGCAUUUACACCCUGGACUGUGCUGAACCACUGUUGAAUUGUGAUUUCUUUAUUUGUAAGAACCAAAUGAACUAGAUUGAAAGACUGAAGUGCACUUCAUCAA